GCGAGACUUGAACUCACAAACAGUGACCUGAGCCAAAAGCAAGAGGCAAAUGCUCGACUAAGCGCCCCUAAACCUUCUUUAUCUUGUUGGGGUUCUGUCUCUUUGUUCCCUCUAUUUCUAGAUUACUAAGCCAUUUUUAAAAAAUAGGUAUUGAUAUUGAAUUUUUAUCAAAUUCCUUUUGACCUUUAUUCAGAAAGUCAAUUUUUCCCCUUUGACUUCAUGAAAUAAAUACAUUUCCUAAUUGAGGGAGGUCAGUGUCAACCUUUUGUCCUUGGUUUUCUUUCAUUGUCUCCUGUCAUCUUUGCAGAGCAGGCUGAAAACGAGCCCCUGGGCGACAGGUGAUAGGGUGUCCCCUGCCAUCGAAGAUGGCGAGAUGGAUGGACGGGAGUCUGAUUUUCUGGUUGUUGUUGCUGGUUGGUUGGUUGGUUAGUUGUCAGUCAUGGGAAGAAGUCACUCUCCAAAAGUGUCACCCAACGGCAAAGAGAACAAGGUCCUGCAGAACAAGGCACAUGUUAUAGCCAAUGGAUGAGAACAGACCAACUGGGGAACAGGAUGGAAACCAUCACUCUGGCUCUUUACCAGCUAAACAACUGGGCACAGACACCCCAGGUGUGCUCUUUGCCAGGUCAACAGGCCCAGAGUGGGUGCCGGGGCCGAGCUAAUGAAGACUCUCUACUGUAACUUCUUACCCUCCUCCCAUUUUGUUUGUUUUCUGAGUAGUGGUUUUGAUUCUGAAAUACUUCAUCUUUGGCCAUUUUCCUUAAUGCUAAACGCUUAGGACUAAGCCUCAGGAUUUCCACCAGCCAUGGGGAAAUGCUUUUCUUGUGAAUGCUGUUUGGCUAAUGUGCCCAAUUAUCUCCUAUGUUCACAAUUAUUUCCACAAGGUACAUCCUGGACCUUUCUAAUUUAAUACCAGCUAAUGAAUUAUGUGUGGGAGAUAUAUCUAUAUAUCUAUAUCUAUAUAGAUAUAGAUAUAGAUAUGUUUUUUUUAAGAAUUCAGUCAUGGAAGGUGAGCCAUCUUUCCACUGAGUGUGUGAUUCUAAAGGCCUUUCUUGGUAUUUAACUACAGGGUAAGACAACAGCUAAACAUGUUAAGGCCCUAAUGAUGAGCCUGGUAGGCUAGGUUAUCGAACUGUGAGAGAGGAUUCAGAUCGUGCUUGCUCCCCAAAAACAUGCUCAGUGGAGGCAGAUCUGGAGACUCUGAUAGGAACCCUAGGCUGCCACACUCAAAACCUCCAGCCUCUUUAGCAGGGGAGCCGCGAAGGGUCUCAGAGCCUGCUCCAAUCACAGCCCUGCUAAGAGGUGAAGUUUCUCAGAGCGAGUGGUCACAGCCACCAUGUCACCCGUCCCCGUUACUAUUGUCCCAUUGCGCUAACACGUCACAGGCUGAGUGGGAACCUAACUUAGGCUCUUCAGUGACCUUGUUCAAAGUGUUUUUGGGUCAAUCACACUGCUCUCUCAACAAGACAGAUUUGGGGCUGAAAGACCAAGCCAGUCAGGAAAUGGACACAAAUAUCCCAGGUCAACUAGGGGCAAGAGAGGUCUUGAAAAGCCAAGGACAAGUAAAAUUACGAGAGAGGAAAGACUAUGAGGAAACAGGCAGUGAGUGGAUGGCGAAAGGAGAAGAAAGGAGCAGAUGUGCUGAGCAGAGUGGGUAAGUCCGGAGAAAUACAGACAGGUUCUGAUGUCUCCCAGUUGUGGUUCUUGGAGGCGUCCGCAUGUGUGUUUGCUUCGUGUCCCCGUGUUCCCUGUGACUCCUGUGGAUUCUCGCAUUGCCCACCUGCAGGUACUAGUCUGUGUGUCCUCGCAGUCAAAAGACCCGGCCCUGGACGCUGACAGUUUGAGAACCCCCUUCGACAGGCAGUGGGACCUUUACUCUCACCCCGCUGUUCCGAAUCUGCCCACCUCAUGGGAACCCUGUCAGACACUAGCAUGUCUGGGACUGUCCAGGGCUUGAGGCUUUAAAGUUCGCCAGCAGGGCCUGGACCUCUUCACACUCAAACCCGGGAGGCCUGGAGAUCAUCCUUUAGCUCCAGGAGGGCUCGUCCGGUGCUCUCAAGUCACAAAUGGUUAUUUACCAGCGGGGCUGGGGAGCCGGUCUCCUACGUGUCCCCUCACACCCCUGGAACUGCCACAGUGACAGUGCCACUCAUUCUCAGUCCCUUUUUUUUUUUAAUGUUUAUUUAUUUAUUUUGAGAGAGAGGCAGAGGGAGUGAGCUGAGGAGGGAUACAGAACCCGAAGCAGCUCCAGGCUCCGAGCUGUCAGCACAGAGCCCAUGUGGGGCUUGAAGUCAGCACGUGAUCAUGAUCUGAGCCACCAACUGGGCCACCCAGCCCCAGUCCCAUUCUUUGGAAACAAAAGAGCAAAAGAGCAAAAGGUGAGAAUUGAUUGUAGGGAGUGAGCGUAUCAGGAGAACCUUUCUGAUCUCAGCUUAGUGGAGGAAAGAAGGCUUUUUUGUGAUGGACAUCAGCAUUGGGAAUUUUCCGAACGCCCCGGAUUCCCAUGGAGCCCGCUGCCCAUUGGGCAGCUUUUCUCCUGUGGGGACUGAAGGGCCGGCAGGAUGUGGAUGGACGUGCCCACACGAGAGGAAAGAUGCUCCCUGUAGAGACGGUAGCACGACUCACAGCGGACAGCAUGGGGUGGUCAAGCUUGCUGUCUAUACGGAGAGCCAAGGACAGGAAGGUAAAUCGAGGCUACAUCCUGCAGUGCUCCUUGCGUGGGCAGAGUGGGCAUCAGUUUUAGGAACAGGAGAGCGAUUCAUCAGAGGCCUUCGGGGAGGACCGGGCUUUGUGAGGACCGGAGGGAGGAGAUCGGACACAAGACCAGGGUAGAUGAGUGACCUACCUGGGCCAAGGACAGAGGCAGUCGGAGCUACUCUUGGAAGUUGCUUGUUUAUGGCAUUGUGGAAGACGGACGGUGACUUUUAGGAAAGUGGGAAAUGCCAGAGGGGGAGGGGAUGGAGAAGAGGAGGAGGAAUGGGGGGAGAGAGGCACUUCUUGGAUCACUUUAAAAAUCUUCAAAGACUCAGUUGAUGAGUUACCAUCAGAUUUCAACACACCCUGUCUCAGGGGGAGACUCAAAAAAAUACAUGUAGAUCACGGCUAAAUUAGACUAAGCGUUUCAUGUCUGCACUGGGGGAAGUGUGUUGGUCUAUAACAUAUAUGUCACUAAAUCCUUGAAUGUGCUUGCAAUUUGUAUAGAAAUGUAAAAAAAAUAAAACCCAACAAAACCCAACUUAGCCUCUUUUUGUACCCCCCCCCCCCCCCACCAAGAGAGUUCGGCUAUCCUAGGGUCUCUUGACUUAGAUUUUUAAUUCAUUGUGAUAAUUUUCAAGUCAGUUAAAAAUUUCCCACAUACUAUCAAUUUAUGACUACAAAUCAGAAAAAUCUAAACCCUCUGUCUUAGCACAUUGCAUCUUUAAUAAGACAUUCUUUCCAGAAUGACAUUUCAAGGAUAUCUGGAGGUGACCGAUGGGAUGAUAAUUUUGAGUGAAUUUAGAGUUUUAAUUACUGUUUUAUUUGUAAUUGCAAGUGGGUGCUGUGGAAAAAAAAAAAAGAGCUAUCAACAAAGGAAAUAAUUGUUCCAAAGAAUUACAUCUGCACUGCAUUCUCUGUCAAAAAUUUCUCAUUAAAAAUGUGUUUCUUUAAAAGUAACUCAAAGCAGCUGAUGAAAUAUAAGAGCAUGGAAAGUUUCAAAUCCCAGAGCAAAUGUGGAUUCAUCAGGGAUCAUUUGCCAGAGACCUGACUCAAUGGCAAAAGACCUUCUCACCAUUUCUCACAUCCCUUCCUGGGUUUCAUACAGAGUGGAUAAAGAAUGACUAAGCUCCGAAAAAGUCUCCCAAAGAGGAGACAAUCCCGUAAACCUUCCCAGGAUCUCUGCGCCACUCGCCGAGACUGAUGCGCGAGAGAUGGCUGUUACCAAGAUUAUUCCCAAACAUCCUCUAGCUUGCUGGAGACCACAAAGAUCAGUCCUGCCUGAGAGGCCACCGGUGUGCAUCUGACAAAAGAAUAAGAUGAUGGAAAAAUAUGGCCAUGUCCUUGAAGUGGGGGCUGCCGAUGGAAGAAAAGCAGUAGAUGGGCAGAAGACAAGGUCAAAACCCAGGUCGGGCUGACGCCGUCUGGAAGACCAAAAGCCAGCUGCCUUAUCGACGAAUUUAAUGAGCACCUAUUAUGUGUGGGGACAUUGCCAAAUGCUGCAGGAAUCCCUUCCCGAGGGUAUUUACAGUUUAUUGAGGAGACAAGACACGUGUAGACCAAAUGAUUUAAUUAUCAUCUCAGCUCGGGGAUGCUGUUCCUGCUGAACUAAUUCCCGCCAGAUAUCGUGAGGCCACGUUAGACCAAGGACAUCGGACCCUUCUCUGUGGCCGGGCUGCUCAUGGACCCUUGGAUCUCCCAUUACUAAACCUGUGUAAUGGGCAUAACUUCAUUUUACCCAGUCCACCGUGCAAGAUAUGCACCUUUAAGUAUUUCUUUAACUCAAGUUGUCAUACUUCAUUAAUUCCAAUGCAUGCCUUUUCAUGCGUUAACGUCUCAGAAAUCAGGAUCUUCUCACUGAUGGCAUCUUUGAAUUGCUAUUUCCCGGGUGGCAGGGUGGACGGAAUGGCCCGUGCAUGUCUGAACUUGUUCACAGGCAUUCCUAUGACCGUCCCUUCUGUUGAAGUCUGUGCAUUGUUGGUAGGACCCAAGUUGAGUUUAGUUGCUGUUUGAACUGUUUUCAAAAAGAUCAUCCCAAGUUUCAGGUUUGAGAUGAAAAGUUAUCGUCAACAGAAAGGUUUGGAAACAGAGCAGUGGGGUGCAGAUAUGGUAUUAGUGAAGCAGGUAUUUGUGUUGGGGGGUUCACUGAAAAGCAACAACCUCAUACAAGGUAAUAGACGUAGAUUACUACAAGCGUUUGAAACUGUGGUCAUUUUGUUACUGAGUUGUGUACAAAGGCAAUGCCUGUUUGCACACGUCAAGCAAGCGAGCACCCACAUCAGACCUUUUAGAAUGGAUGGCAGCAUCUCGGAAGAAAACCUGGAGCCAACAGUGGGGACACUUGUAAGAAAUGUUUCAUCGUCAAUACAGAGGACAGCGCUGUGCAGAAAAAUAUGAACAUUGAUUCCGAAUGCGUAAACUCUGAAUGCGAGGAUAACUUUGGGAAUUUCUUAACUAAUUUAUUUUCUUUUUUGUAUAUGUGUGAGUGUGAUGUAUAAUAAAAGCCUGUGACCCAAUAAGUCUAGAAAAGCUUUUUCAGCAAGCAUAAAAUACAGAUUUUAAGUGAUGAGAAAGCAUUGUUUCAUAGAUUAAUUGGCGUCUUUCUUUCUUAGUGGUACAUAAAUUAAUGAUGCAUUUUACAAUCGAUGGCUUCUGAGUAUCAAUGAAAUAGCUACUUUCUCAUUUGAGUUCCCAUUCCUUUGGGUAUUAGAAAUUAAAUUUCCGUCAGUUCAGCAGCACCCCUCCCCAUGAUUACAUUGCAUUCCUGGGGGCUUACCCACAGCUACCAUUUAGACUGAGGACACUGUGUUUGUUGGGCAUGAGUUUCUCUCUGUGCUGGCAGCCACCGAGAUGGCCAUGUCUGAUGCCACACAGAUCGCUGCUGGGUCCUUUUUCUGUUCUCAUCUCAGGCCUCUUUCAGAGUUGGGGGGAUCUUUCUGCUAGUUCAAGUGGGCUUGGGGUCCACCUCCCUGGCAGCGAAGAUGCUGAGCUGGUGAGGCCCUGGGCCCCUCGGUGGGCUCUCUGGAGCAGGAAGGGCAGUUUGCAUCCUCUUGGGCACUGGGUGGAAUUCACUCUUCCCACUGCUCUUGGGCAUGUAGGAUCCAGCUUCCCUUUGCCAUCUCUUUGGAACGGGGAGACCUAGACCCCGCCAUGUUUCCACUCUGGCAUCUCGUGGCCUCCCUGGCUCCACCUGGGGAAGGGGUACGCGUGUCCUCCGGCCUGUGUGGGGUUUCUGGUUGUUCCUCUCCCAUCUCUGCACGAUGAGGGGAGGGGGCUGUGCUGCAGGACCCCCUGUUGAGGUCCCUCCUGGCCUCCUCUCCAGCCUGCCCUGUCCUCCUGGUCUGGGCAAUGCCUUCUAACCCGGAGGGCCAGAGAGCCUGUCUCUUACUCCCCUCCCCAAGUUUUGCAGCUCCUCAGAGGCUUUGGGUUCUAAAACUCAAGCCAAGGACAGACUCGUGGUUCCCCUACUAUCUGGACGAGUGCUUCAGAGCACAAAGCUGACUAAAUGGAAGAAAGAUCUGGAACAAAGAAACACAAGAAAAUCACAUUGGCUCACAUUUCAAAAUAUCACCCCAAUGCAGGUUCUCACCGUGGUUCCCCUUUCCCCGUUAUUUUAAUGUGUUUGUGUGGGUCCAUUUCUCACAUUGUCGGUUUUCCACCCUAUUUUGUAGUAGCCUGGGGCCCCGUUCCAACUACGAUGCCUCAGAUUGACUGUUUCUCAUUACCUCGGAAACCGGGGUGAAGGGACAACCAUGUUCUUCCUUCACCUCCUCCUCCUUCAGUUGUUAUCAUAUAAAGUUUAUAAUCUUUGUUCCAUCAUAGAGAAUCCGUAACAUGAGACCAAGUAGAAGGAAGGAAAGGAAAUCAUGCAUCACCUCACUGUGCUAAGACAUCCACUGGUGGGUGACAUUUUGUUCUUUCUCAAGUUGGUUCUUCGUACUUACAUAGCUUUUGUGUAUUUUUAUAUAGCUGACAUUGCAUCAGCCAUAAAAGCGAAUAUCCUGCUUCGUUCGUUCAACACUGUGGCUGAGUAUGUUUCCUUAUUAUCCUCAAGUCUUCAGAACCCUUAGUCCAAUGUGGCCAUUUAUGCAACCAUCUCCCUUGCGUUGAGCACUUAGCGUAUUCCCUUCGUCAUAAAUAAGCGAUAGCAUUGUGAUGACAUCCUUGUGCAUGAAAGUUGCCCCGCCGUUUCUGACUAUUGUCUUGAGAUAGACUCCGAGGAUGGGGAUCGCUUGUAAGACUGCCGUCUUAAAAACAAGCCAUUUCCCUACCCUCUCUGUGACGUCUUCUCUGCCCAUUUAUCAGUUGUUACAGUAACACUUAUCUGCUGGUAGCGCGUACUGUUUGGCUGGGAGUUUUCUACAAGCUGGCGUCCUUACAACAAUUUGGCAUUUAUCUAUAGGAGGUCACGUCCGGUACCUCCAUGUACAAAGUCUGACUCGGUUACUUCGAAAGUUUCAUCAUUUUUUAGCCAAAGAUGUUGACAGGCAGCCUGCGGCAUUAGACCUGGAGCGUCACGUUGAACAUGAAAAUGACUCUGAACGUGAUGUGGCCGAUUUCGUUCUAAACAAUCAUCCAACGCUGAUCCGUAAAAAGCACUGUCCCCUCCAAGGAGCCACUGUGGAUGGCCGAGCACUUAUUCCAAAGAUGUAUCAUGGGUGACUUUCUGGUGUGACUAGUCGGUAGCCGAGUGUAUGAAGACAGUUCUUCAAGAGAAAAGAAUUACGCUGUAACCCACAGCAGCAUCUUUGGGACCGAAACAUCAGCCAUGUUGACACCAGGUUGGGGACGUAUAUGCUCUGAAGCAUUUAACCUCGGCUCAUUACUUACUAGUGAUAUCAUUUAAAUUAAAAUAGUCACUUUUUUUUUUUUUUAAGUAUGAGAUCAGGGGCGCCUGGGUGGCUCAGUCAGUUAAGCGUCUGAGUCAGCUCAGGUCAUGAUCUCGCAGUUCGUGAGUUUGAGGUCCACAUGGGGCUCUGUGCUGACAGCUCGGAGCCUGGAGCCUACUUCGGAUUCUGUGUCCUCCUCUCUCUCU